rnacentral:rRNA from 1 species
UACGGAGGGUGCAAGCGUUAGUCGGAAUUACUGGGCGUAAAGGGUGCGUAGGCGGCGCGGUAAGUCGGGUGUGAAAUCUUGGAGCUUAACUCCGAAACUGCAUUCGAUACUGCCGUGCUUGAGGACUGGAGAGGAGACUGGAAUUUACGGUGUAGCGGUGAAAUGCGUAGAUAUCGUAAGGAAGACCAGUGGCGAAGGCGGGUCUCUGGACAGUUCCUGACGCUGAGGCACGAAGGCCAGGGGAGCAAACGGG